CCUACGGGUGGCAGCAGUGGGGAAUAUUGGACAAUGGGGGGAACCCUGAUCCAGCCAUGCCGCGUGUGUGAAGAAGGCCCUCGGGUUGUAAAGCACUUUCAGUGAGGAAGAACGCCUGGUGGUUAAUACCCAUCAGGAAAGACAUCACUCACAGAAGAAGCACCGGCUAACUCCGUGCCAGCAGCCGCGGUAAUACGGAGGGUGCGAGCGUUAAUCGGAAUUACUGGGCGAAAAGCGCGCGUAGGUGGCUUGAUAAGCCGGUUGUGAAAGCCCCGGGCUCAACCUGGGAACGGCAUCCGGAACUGUCAAGCUAGAGUGCAGGAGAGGAAGGUAGAAUUCCCGGUGUAGCGGUGAAAUGCGUAGAGAUCGGGAGGAAUACCAGUGGCGAAGGCGGCCUUCUGGACUGACACUGACACUGAGGUGCGAAAGCGUGGGUAGCAAACAGGAUUAGAUACCCCUGUAGUC
rnacentral:rRNA from 1 species